rnacentral:rRNA from 1 species
UAGGGAAUCUUCGGCAAUGGGGGCAACCCUGACCGAGCAACGCCGCGUGAGUGAAGAAGGUUUUCGGAUCGUAAAGCUCUGUUGUAAGUCAAGAACGGGUGUGAGAGUGGAAAGUUCACACUGUGACGGUAGCUUACCAGAAAGGGACGGCUAACUACGUGCCAGCAGCCGCGGUAAUACGUAGGUCCCGAGCGUUGUCCGGAUUUAUUGGGCGUAAAGCGAGCGCAGGCGGUUUGAUAAGUCUGAAGUUAAAGGCUGUGGCUCAACCAUAGUUCGCUUUGGAAACUGUCAAACUUGAGUGCAGAAGGGGAGAGUGGAAUUCCCUGUGUAGGGGUGAAAUGCGUAGAUAUAUGGAGGAACACCGGUGGCGAAAGCGGCUCUCUGGUCUGUAACUGACGCUGAAGCUCGAAAGCGUGGGGAGCGAACAGG